rnacentral:rRNA from 1 species
UAGAGUUUGAUCCUGGCUCAGGAUGAACGCUAGCUACAGGCUUAACACAUGCAAGUCGAGGGGCAGCAUUUUAGUUUGCUUGCAAACUGAAGAUGGCGACCGGCGCACGGGUGAGUAACACGUAUCCAACCUGCCGAUAACUCCGGGAUAGCCUUUCGAAAGAAAGAUUAAUACCGGAUGGCAUACGAAUAUCGCAUGAUAUUUUUAUUAAAGAAUUUCGGUUAUCGAUGGGGAUGCGUUCCAUUAGUUUGUUGGCGGGGUAACGGCCCACCAAGACUACGAUGGAUAGGGGUUCUGAGAGGAAGGUCCCCCACAUUGGAACUGAGACACGGUCCAAACUCCUACGGGAGGCAGCAGUGAGGAAUAUUGGUCAAUGGGCGAGAGCCUGAACCAGCCAAGUAGCGUGAAGGAUGAAGGCUCUAUGGGUCGUAAACUUCUUU